GCCUUCGUGGCCUAACGGAUAAGGCGUCGACUUUAUAAGCCGAAGACUGCGGGUUCGAGUCCCGUCAAACGUA
rnacentral:tRNA from 1 species